CUUUCCCCCACUUCAAGUGGGUACUUCCCUUUCCAGGCGGGAGCCUCUCCCUCUAGGUGAGAGAUUGCCACUCCAAGAGCAAGCUCCUUCUCAGGUGAGAGCCAAUCCUUGGCUUCCCCAUACCAGGCCUGAGCCAUCUACAACCUGAACCCUGGGGCUGGAGGCCCAGGGGCAAGCUUGGCCCCAACACUUUCCUUCCCUUAGAGGGGAGGGUCUCAUCUGAGGCCUGAGGCUUGGGAAAGGAGUUGCUUGAGGACCUGGACCGCUGGUUUGCUGGACCCCUUCCCUGAGUGUGCUCUCAGCCAGCAGUGGGCUCCCGGGGCAGCUGGAGGAGGACCUGGGGACUGGACAGGGAUUGGCUAGGGGAGAGGGAUUGGGUGGGGGAGGGAGCAGCCUGGGACCUGGACUGGUAGAACACUCAGCACGGGCAGCCACAUCUUGGCUGGAGGUAUAGAUAGUGCUCAUCCUGCGGUCCCUACUUGGGGGACUUUGUCCUAGAAAGAGGCUUUCUCACCAGCCAAAGUUCAGGUACUGCCCCUGUCUGAGUUUGGGCAUGUGGCCCACAGAUGCCAGCUGGGGGCUGGAAUACUGUACCUUGAUCUUAGGGCCCAGAAAAAUCAGGUAGGUAACUCUCUGGUCCUAGGUGGAGGUGUAGGGGAGGUUGGGCCAGGGAUGCCCUCACUGUAUCUCUUUGGUCUUGCCACCCCAGACCGAGGGACACGCAGGCACUGCUGUCUGCAACACAAGCAAUGGAGCUGCGGAGGCGAGACUACCACAUGGAACGGCCGCUGCUGAACCAGGAGCAUUUGGAGGAGCUGGGGCGCUGGGGCUCAGCACCUAGGACCCGCCAGUGGCAGACCUGGUUGCAGUGCUCCCGUGCUCGGGCCCGUGCCCUUCUACUCCAACACCUCCCGGUUUUGGUCUGGUUACCCCGGUAUCCUGUGCGUGACUGGCUCGUGGGUGACCUGUUAUCCGGCCUGAGUGUGGCCAUCAUGCAGCUUCCACAGGGCUUGGCCUACGCCCUCCUGGCUGGAUUGCCCCCUGUGUUUGGCCUCUAUAGCUCCUUCUACCCCGUCUUCAUCUACUUCCUGUUUGGCACUUCCCGGCACAUCUCUGUGGGUAAGUGGAGGCAGGCCUAGCCUUCCAGGAGGAUGCCCACAUCCAUCAUGGAGGGCAGGGUGAGGCGGCACUGAGCAGGGCAGGAGCGGCUGGGGAAGAGGGCAGCAUUGGUGCUGCAUCCCUGAGCUAGCCCACGCGUCAUCCCCAGGCAGGACUAGACCCCUGACUGUAGGACCACAGAGGCAGGGGACCUCAAAGCCCUGGCUCCAGGAAGAUGUGAGUAGGUGAGGCAGCCCAAGGGGCCUGGAACUUGGCAGAGGCCUGAGCAGCCUGAGGCAAGCCCUGACCCCUUCCCUACUCCACAGAGAGCCUCUGUGUCCCUGGACCAGUAGACACAGGUGGGACAGGGUAGAUGAGGCAGGGCCAGCAUUUCUAGCCACGCUUAAGGGCCCGUGAGCUCAGGGUUCACUCCUGGCCUGGCCAAACCGGAACCGCCAGCACUGUCCCUGUUCAUGCAGCCAUAAUCUGAGUACAUUUGUCCAGAACUGGAAAUCUCCUGGCCUCUCUCUUAAGACCAGGGCUCCAGGGCAAGGCAGUGUCCUCUCCCCUUCAGACCUGCCCCGUGCCGUCCUUACAGGGACCUUUGCUGUCAUGUCUGUGAUGGUGGGCAGUGUGACAGAAUCCCUGGCCCCGCAGGCCUUGAACGACUCCAUGAUCAAUGAGACAGCCAGAGACGCUGCCCGGGUACAGGUGGCCUCCACGCUCAGUGUCCUGGUUGGCCUCUUCCAGGUGUGGAACAGUCAGGAAUAUGUGCCCCCCACCACUUCUGCUCCCGCCACUGCCCCGUCUGUACUCCCCUGAGUGUCUGACCAUCGUCGUCCUCCUCUCGCCAUCCACUCAUCCCCCUCCCAUCCCACUUGCCCUGCGCUCCUCAUCAGCAACCCCAGGACCCCUGCCUCUCCUGACUGCCCCUGGCCGCCCCACAGGUGGGGCUGGGCCUGAUCCACUUCGGCUUCGUGGUCACCUACCUGUCAGAGCCUCUUGUCCGAGGCUAUACCACAGCUGCAGCUGUGCAGGUCUUCGUCUCACAGCUCAAGUAUGUGUUUGGCCUCCAUCUGAGCAGCCACUCUGGGCCACUGUCCCUCAUCUAUGUGAGUGAGGGUGGGAGGAGGGAGGGGUAGGUGUGCCCCAUGGCCUUGAGUGCUGGCUGUGACCCGGCCUCUCCUCAGACAGUGCUGGAGGUCUGCCGGAAGCUGCCCCAGAGCAAGGUUGGCACCGUGGUCACUGCAGCUGUGGCUGGGGUGGUGCUCGUGGUGGUGAAGCUGUUGAAUGACAAGCUGCAGCAGCAGCUGCCCAUACCGAUACCCGGGGAGCUGCUCACGGUUCGAGGGCCAGGGAGUGGCGGGCAGGGGAGAAGGGCAGGUCAGGCUGGGUCCCUGCCACGUGGGCAGCCUUCUGUAUUUGAGGGCCAGCUGGAGGGGGGCUGGGAGGGUUCUUGGGUAUUGUGGGGGGCACAGCAGAAAGCCCCUAUGUUGGUUUCUUCCUGCCCCUGACAGCAUCUCCCCAUAGCCGAAAUGGUGUUGCCUGCCUCUCACCCUACGUGACUUUUUCCCACCCCUGAAGAAGGUUUUGCCCAGUGUCUCCCUCCUCACCCCACAGUGGUUUAUGUGUCCCCCUGACCAGGAUGCCAGCAUCUGCCUCCCUGACUCUGUCCUCUCCCACAGCUCAUCGGGGCCACAGGCAUCUCCUAUGGCAUGGGUCUGAAGCACAGAUUUGAGGUAGAUGUCGUGGGCAACAUCCCUGCAGGGUGAGCUCUGGCCUCCAUCAGGUCAGGGAGGGUUGGGCAGCCAGGCCAGGACCUUGCUUUGGCCUCACGGAUACCUCUCACAGGCUGGUGCCCCCAGUGGCCCCCAACACUCAGCUGUUCUCAAAGCUCGUGGGCAGCGCCUUCACCAUCGCUGUGGUUGGGUUCGCCAUUGCCAUCUCGCUGGGGAAGAUCUUCGCCCUGAGGCACGGCUACCGGGUGGACAGCAACCAGGAGCUGGUGGCCCUGGGCCUCAGUAACCUCAUCGGAGGCAUCUUCCAGUGCUUCCCCGUGAGUUGCUCUAUGUCUCGGAGCCUGGUACAGGAGAGCACCGGGGGCAACUCGCAGGUUGCUGGAGCCAUCUCUUCCCUUUUCAUCCUCCUCAUCAUUGUCAAACUUGGGGAACUCUUCCAUGACCUGCCCAAGGCGGUCCUGGCAGCCAUCAUCAUUGUGAACCUGAAGGGCAUGCUGCGGCAGCUCAGCGACGUGCGUUCCCUCUGGAAGGCCAAUCGGGCGGAUCUGCUUAUCUGGCUGGUGACCUUCACGGCCACCAUCCUGCUGAACCUGGACCUUGGCUUGGUGGUUGCGGUCAUCUUCUCCCUGCUGCUCGUGGUGGUCCGGACACAGAUGCCCCACUACUCUGUCCUGGGGCAGGUCCCAGACACGGAUAUUUACAGAGAUGUGGCAGAGUACUCAGAGUGCGGGGUAGAUGUCGACUUCCUUAUCUCCCAGAAGAAGAAACUGCUCAAGAAGCGGGAGCAGCUGAAGCUGAAGCAACUGCAGAAAGAGGAGAAGCUUCAGAAACAGGCAGGGCCCCUUUUGUCUGGUGACCCCUGUCUCCUGCCCCCUUCUCCCUGCCCCAGCCUUUCUCCUGGCCCCCGACUCCUCCCUCGUCCUCACUCCUCAUCCCUUCCCCUUUCUCCCUCAUGCUCCCAGGGACCCUGCCUCACUCCCCUAGCAGGUCUGGGCUCUAGGCAGCAUUUUCUCUCCCAUCAUCUGAACCAGUGACAGUGAGAACCGUCACAGUCCUCUUCCCUUUCACGGCUGUUCCAGGAGCUUCAGCCUGGCUGCUGCAGGUCCCAUAGCUUCUGGUUCUGGCCCACCUACCUGCCCAGCACCAGGGGGCAUCACCAGGCCUAUGUGACAUGGCUGUCAUGGCAGCCGGGAUAGCUGUUUCCCAUUCCCUGUCUUCCCUGGUGUAGGCUGCCUCCUCCAAGGGCGCCUCAGUUUCCAUUAAUGUCAACACCAGCCUUGAAGACAUGAGGAGCAACAACGUUGAGGACUGCAAGACGAUGGUGAGACUGGAGGUGGGAAAGGAGGUGACAGCUGUGAGCUGCAGAGAUGCAGGAUCCACACGUCUCAUGAGGAAUGCCAUGGACCCAGCAGCUGUGGGCUCGAGGGUGUUGCGCUGAUGGCAGGAGGAGUGGAGGCUGGAUCAGAUAUUCUUCAGAGAGAGUCGUGAUAUGCCACAGAAUCUAGGCUUAGAUUCUCAGGCCUAGAUGAAGACCUUGAAUUUGUAGAUGCCACAAGACUCCCCCCAGAGUCUGCUCAUGGAUAGAGGAAAGGGAUUGGGUAUAUGAGAGAAAAUCAAGGGGUCAAAGGCAGGCGUGGUGGUAUGCGCCUGUAGUCCCAGCUCUUCGGGAGGCUAAGGCGGGAAAAUCAUUUGAGCCCAGGAGCUCGGGGCUGCAGUGCGCUCUAAUGGUGCCUGUGAAUAACCACUGCAUUCAGCCUGGGCAAUGAAGUGAGACCCUGUCUCUAAAAAAAAAAAUUUAGGGAUCAAAGAGGAUGCCAAACUUAAUUAGAGACUCAGACAGGGCAGGGUGCCGAGGUGUCUGCGUGUGUUUCAUGUGGAUGCCUGUGUCUAUUCUGGCCUGCUCCUGGGCCCCCUCCCCACUCAGCCCUGGCUGAUGAGAAUGGGACAGGGUCUCCCAGCACCGUCCCUUCUCGUGUCCCUGUGCAGCCUCGGCCCAGGAGGUAGCAGAGCAGUAGGUGUGCCCUCCUGCGUGUCCCCACACAUCUGUCAUUCCUGUCUUUGCACACCUAUGUGACUCCCCCAUGUUUGUGUCCUUAAGUGUCCCGUGCAUGCUCCGCAUCUGACCUUGCGUGUUCCCGCACGUCUGUGUGUGGCCAGUCCUGCCUUCACCCUCUCAUGGGUGGCCCUGGCAGCAUGUCUGGCUCCCCAGCAGGUGAGCCCAGGAGAUAAGAUGGAAGAUGCAACAGCCAAUGGUCAAGAAGACUCCAAGGCCCCAGAUGGGUCCACACUGAAGGCCCUGGGCCUGCCUCAGCCAGACUUCCACAGCCUCAUCCUGGACCUGGGUGCCCUCUCCUUUGUGGACACUGUGUGCCUCAAGAGCCUGAAGAAUAUUUUCCAUGACUUCCGGGAGAUCGAGGUGGAGGUGUACAUGGCGGCCUGCCAAAGCCCUGUGGUCAGCCAGCUUGAGGCUGGGCACUUCUUCGAUGCAUCCAUCACCAAGAAGCAUCUCUUUGCCUCUGUCCAUGAUGCUGUCACCUUUGCCCUCCAACACCCGAGGCCUGUCCCCGACAGCCCUGUUUCGGUCACCAGACUCUGAACAUGCUGCAUCCUGCCCAAGACUGCACCUCUGGAGGUGCAGGGCACCCUUGAGAAGCCCCUCACCCCUAGGCCGCCUCCAGGUGCUACCCAGGAGUCCCCUCCAUGUACACACACGCAACUCAGGGAAGGAGGUCCUGGGACUCCAAGUUCAGCACUCCAGGUCUGGGACAGGGCCUGCAUGCAGUCAGGCUGGCAGUGGCGGGGUACAGGGAGGGAACUGGUGCAUAUUUUAGCCUCAGGAAUAAAGAUUUGUCUGCUC
rnacentral:sRNA from 1 species